CGGCUCAAGCCGAUGGAAGUUUGAGGCAAUAACAGGUCUGUGAUGCCCUUAGAUGUCCUGGGCCGCACGCGCGUUACACUGACAGAGCCAGCGAGUAUUUCCUUGACCGGAAGGUCCGGGUAAUCUUGUUAAACUCUGUCGUGCUGGGGAUAGAGCAUUGCAAUUAUUGCUCUUCAACGAGGAAUCCCUAGUAAGCGCAAGUCAUCAGCUUGCGUUGAUUACGUCCCUGCCCUUUGUACACACCGCCCGUCGCUACUACCGAUUGAAUGGCUCAGUGAGACCUCCGGACUGGCCCAGAGAGGUGGGCAACUACCACUCAGGGCCGGAAAGUUGUUCAAACUCGGUCAUUUAGAGGAAGUAAAAGUCGUAACAAGGUCUCCGUUGGUGAACCAGCGGA
rnacentral:rRNA from 1 species